UACGGAGGGCGCAAGCGUUGUUCGGAAUUACUGGGCGUAAAGCGCAUGCAGGUGGCUGAGUAAGUCGAAUGUGAAAGCCCCGAGCUCAACCCAGGAACUGCAUCCGAAACUACUUAGCUAGAGUCCCGGAGAGGAAGGCAGAAUUCCCAAUGUAGGGGUGAAAUCCGUAGAUAUUGGGAGGAAUACCGGUGGCGAAGGCGGCCUUCUGGACGGUGACUGACACUCAGAUGCGAAAGCGUAGGGAGCAAACAGG
rnacentral:rRNA from 1 species